CGGAAGUCCUGCUUCUGACCCCGCGCCGGCGUUUUUUGAAAGGACCUGGAAGUGGAGGGCGAGGAGUGAAGGUUGUACAAGGAAGGGUGAAUGUCUCCUUUCUAGUGAACCGCUCUGCGAGGCCUGUCUUACUUCCUCCUUAGGGUCUUGUGAGUGACUGCGGAUCUAAACUCCCCACUGCCGUCCCAACCCGGAUUGACCUCUAAAGUCUCAUGUUGCCUGAGGAAGACACACAGAAGAUGAGGAAGAGGAAAGAAAAGGAGUCAGGCAUGGCUCUUUCUCAGGCCUCUGAAGACUUGUGUUGCCUGAGGAAGAAGCCUUGAAGUUGAAGAAGGGGAAGGAAAAGGAGUCAGGAAUGGCUCUUGCUCAGGUAAAGUCAUAUUCUCAGUUGAUUCUCAGUCUGUCCUUCCUGAAAUGCCCUUCUCUGGACUCGCUAAUCUUCUCUGACUCUGGAGUAUUCUGACUCCUGUACAUACACACACACUCACCUGGGGCCUUCCCUCAGGGCCUGUCAUCUCCACUUAGAUCCCAUCUCCCCAUGACCCGGUAACCUGGCCCUUGUGAGGAGGCUCCCCUGGGCACCAUCCUGGGUAGGGUUUCACAUGCAUGGGUUGGAGACAGGGUCUUGGUGCUGUUGGGCAGCAGGG
rnacentral:lncRNA from 1 species